rnacentral:tRNA from 1 species
GGGUAGCUGGCUGAGUGGCUUAGGCAUCGGAUUGCAAAUCCGAAUCACACCCGUUCGAAUCGGGUGCUACCCUCCA